GGGCCCGCACAAGCGGUGGAGCAUGUGGAUUAAUUCGACGCAACGCGCAGAACCUUACCUAGCCUUGACAUGUUAGCGUAUGGUCCCCAAAAGGACCGGACCUUCGGGAACGCUUACACAGGUGCUGCAUGGCUGUCGUCAGCUCGUGUCGUGAGAUGUUGGUUAAGUCCCGCAACGAGCGCAACCCCUAUCCUUAGUUACCAGCGGUUCGGCCGGGCACUCUAGGGAAACUGCCGGUGUUAAGCCGGAGGAAGGUGGGGAUGACGUCAAGUCCUCAUGGCCCUUACGGCUAGGGCUUCACACGUGCUACAAUGGUUGGUACAGAGAGCUGCAAGACCGCGAGGUG
rnacentral:rRNA from 1 species